rnacentral:rRNA from 1 species
AAACUUUCAACAACGGAUCUCUUGGUUCUGGCAUCGAUGAAGAACGCAGCGAAAUGCGAUAAGUAAUGUGAAUUGCAGAAUUUAGUGAAUCAUCGAAUCUUUGAACGCACAUUG